AGUUUGUCUGGUAUGUUUUCCAAGUCAACCAGCGGUUGUCCCGUUCUCCUGCUUUUUGCAUUUCUCCUUUUUCUAGUCCUCCCGGUUUUGACCCUUGCCUUUUUUUGGACUUUGUACCCGCCUGCCUGACCAUUCUGCCUGCCUUGACCACGAGCCUGUCUGCCACUCUGUACCUCCUGGACUCUGAUCUGGUUUUGACCGUUUGUCUGUCCACGACCAUUCUCUAGCCUACCCCUUUGGAUUUUCAAACAUUGAUGAAAAUGAAGGAGACGGGCAUGGAGACUAGCAUCCCAUGGGCAUAGAACAGAACGGAUGGAUGGUUCUUUCCACCGUCUUAGUCGCAUCAAGAGUGGAACCAGAAGGAGAAAGUUUGAAUGGAAGAAGUCAACGGCUCGAGUGGACAUGUUAUUAUCAGUGUUCUAUGAGAGAUGGAAAUAAGAGUGUGUAUGGUGUGAUUAUAGAACAGAGGCCAUAAGUCUCUGUGAAUGUUAAUCAUGUUUCAUUUUUUUGUUCGUGUUUUAUUAUCAUUGUUUGUUCAUUUUUAAGUCAUUUCCAAGUUUAUGUAAGUUGAACAGUAGGAAGCUAAUGUUUCAAGAGGAGGGAUUGUUGGGUUCUAAAAAAAAUAUAUGAAAUCUACUUAUUCAUGUCACUGAGGGAGAGAGGGGAAUAUAUAAGGUUUACAUCCGGUCCAGAUAUGUUAUUGUUAGCCAUCAGGGAUCCUAUGGGAGGAAAAAAGACAUGAAAGCCGUGAGUUGGGGAGGAGCGAGCACUUUGGGGCAGAGGUCAUGUCAGAUGAAGUGAGGAAGAACAGAUAUCACUAAGGUUCUGUCUAGUAACAGAGAUUCAUUGGCUGUUCAGAUGUGUAUGAGGAGACUCCGUGUAGGAGAAAGGGUUAAAUAUCAGUGCUUGUGUGAGUAUGUCUUAUGCAGCUGUAUGACCCAAUGGGGGAAUAAACUUGGUUUGAGCUUUUUUUUAAG